CAAUAAAGCAAAGGUUUUGAUGGCCCUCAAAACCACCAUCAACAAUAACACUUGUGUGGGAAACUCGUCAUGAUGGCUGUGUAAUACUCAAGUUAAAUUAGUAUAAUUAGUCAUGGAACGAAUUAGUCGACCAGUGCUCAGCAUGUUGCUGGGUCGUGGUACUGCUGCUUCUCUUCGGAUAUGCAGAGUACCCAGCUUCCCAUCUUGUAGAUCCCAGUCACAGAAAAUGUUUAUGACGUGUGUGCCUUUGAAAAAAGUUGUUAUUCAAAGAUGUUCACACACAUUAAAUACAGCAGCUGCGUGGAAGAGCCUGAGUCAUGAGUUUACUGCAGUUACUAAACUUCUAGAGAGG